AUUGAACGCUGGCGGCAGGCCUAACACAUGCAAGUCGAGCGAGCGGCGGACGGGUGAGUAAUGCCUGGGCAUUGCACAGUCGAGGGGGAUAACCGUUUGACACGACUGCUAAUUCCGCAUACGAUUGGAUUGCCCAGGUUGGAUUAGCUAGUUGGUGAGGUAAUGGCUCACCAAGGCGACGAUCCCUAGCUGGUCUGAGAGGAUGAUCAGCCACACUGGAACUGAGACACGGUCCAGAAUCCUACGGGAGGCAGCAGUGGGGAAUAUUGCACAAUGGGGGAAACCCUGAUGCAGCCAUGCCGCGGGGAGGAAGAAGGCCUUCGGGUUGUAAAGCACUUUCAGCGAGGAGGCGUUACUCGCAGAAGAAGCACCGGCUAACUCCGUGCCAGCAGCCGCGGUAAUAC
rnacentral:rRNA from 1 species